rnacentral:lncRNA from 1 species
UUGUCCACUUCAGGCUGGCCUAAGUAUGAUGGGUUAUGUUAGGGCGCUUGGCCAAUCAGCCCAUUCACGUUGGCCACUUGAAAGUAUAAUUAGGGCUCAUAUCCUAGUACAACUCACAACCCAAUGCUACGGAAUAUUGCUAGUACGUGUUGGAUUUCAUUUCGGGUGGCCGAUCCAUGGGGUGUUGGCCCCCAUUCCUCCCGGUUCCGCCCCUGUCUCCAAAGACCCGGAUAUCCGGUCCCAAUAAGGUGGUAUAGUGAGCUACCCUAAUAGUACUUUGUGAUUAUGAGGAGAUGUGCUUUGCAGUUCAAGUAAUCCAUGCUCAAUAGUCCAUUCUAUUUUGAUUUUCUCUAUGCAUGUACAUAUAAAUAAUAUAAAUACAACAUUUCCAUAUCUUCAUGUGAAAAUAGUAUGUCUCUAUCACAAACAAUUCAACAUCAUUCAAAUUCUAAAAUUUUAAAUUCAAAUUGAAACAUGAAACAUAGGGCUCAAACAUAGAUCAUCAACAGUCUCAUCUCCACGCCCCCCCCCAGAAUCCUUGAUGCUUCCAUAUGCAUUGAUUCCACAUAUACUCAAUGUGUUUCAUCUGGCCCGUUGUUGUACAUGAACAUGAAUUUGUAUUCUUGCUCCAUCGUACUUGCAAACACCACCUCUCCCAACAUUCUUAACCUAUUCUAGUCUUCUAUUCGGUGGCCACCUUCGCUCCUCAAAUGCCACUUUAUCCUCCACCAUGGCCUUGACCUCCAACCACCUUAUUUCCUUGCCUUGAUUCCACUCGGCACAUCUCCCUCUUUGUUGUGAUCAUCUAUUAGAAUUUGGUAUGUAAUGCAACACUAUCUCCUUCUUUCUUAAACUUCUUUUCUUUCUUCCUCCCCAAAGGCUUCUUGUGGUUGGUGUCAUUGAGAUUGGAGUAGUACUUUAACCAUCCUCCUCCUCAUCUUCCUCAUUGUAUUAACUUACGGAGUGUCAAACUCUAGAGACGAUGUGUUGUUUGACCUUUUCUUAAGUAGAUGAUGAUCAUUGUUCUCCUUGCCAUCUUCUUGUUGUGGAGCAAUAACCAAGAGUGACAUAGGAAAUACCUUGUCCUUCUAUUCUCUUUACCUAUACAACUCAUGGUUGUAGUUAAUAUGGCAUUUUGAAUAAUUCAUGGCAAAUAAGGUUGAAAUAUUUCAUCAGCCAACAUAAAUGCACUAUUUAAUAAUAUUUUACUUAUUAGGUCAUUCGUGGUCACUCCACUUUGAUGAGGCAUGAUCAACCUAAUGAACAAACUUGCUCAGCAGUUGCAACACUCUUGAAUUGGAUUCUAUCAUUUACCAGGUGAACUAAAUGAUCGAUCUAAUGGACUUUUUACAUUUUGGUAAAAUUGGUCCACAAUGUUCUUCCAGGAAAUCAUUAUGUUUUGAGCAGUCCCUGCAACUCAAUCAAGACACACACUGCGCCAUGUGGUAAACAAAGCUUCAUCUUCUUUUACCAAGUGAUUGGCCGAUCUUAUCGAUUUUGUAUUUGUAUAAGGAACAACAUAUUGAUCAACAAUUAAAUGAAUUAGACAAGGAGAUAGCAUCUGUGUCGAUGGAUUACAUGUACGCAAAUGGGCUACUAAUAAGAAAACUACAUUGAUUUAUCCCUGCAACUGUUGAAAUUCAUAAAACUAUAAUCACAAAAGAAAUCACAGCCACUUUGUAUUAUGUAAAACAACUACAAUAGGCACAAAAUAAAACUAAAAUGCAUUGAGGGCGUUUCGUCAAAAACAGUGUGUGUUAUCCAUGUCGGCAUCGACAUCGGUGUCGGAGGCCAAAUAGGUUGUCGUCGUGCUCAUAACGGGUAGUGGUAUAAUAUGAAUAUGUAUGAAAUCAUAAAUUUAUUCCUUAGGCGGUUUUAACACAUCAAGGAUGAUGACAUCAUAUUUAUAAGGUCCAUAGUUCUAGUUUAUUUUUAAAAAUGUUUUUCUCUUGAAAACACAUUUGUAUAGAGAAUUAAAUUGAAACUGAAAAUUUUCUAAGUAAACAUUGUGGCUAUAAUAAUUAUGGGCACCUCCAACAAAUGAAAUGAUGUGGAGGCACGUUAGGUCCCAAGAGACAUCGUUGAACAUGCACAUGUUAAAUUUGCAGAGCUACAAUUACUACGAACUACUCUUAUAUGAUGCCAUAUGUAUUCUCUUUAUUUUUUUCUCAGAUGUGCCACAUGCUGCCUCGUCCAUGCCACGAUGGAAAUAUAAAACCUUGUUGUACAUGUGACAUGGUAUCGAAACCAUGCUAUAAAAGGUAGCGUAGUUGCUACCACAUAAUACUCAAAACAGAGAAGUGAAGAGAAGACGAGAGGCAAAAACGUCGAGCGAAGGCCAACAGUGUUAGCACUUAGCAGCCCAAUUCUGGUAGGCUUGAGAGACAUCAAAAACUCGGGGAUUGUUUGAUUAUGCACCGUGCCAAUGUUGAGCUAGGUUGAGUUACCACCCGCUCCAAUAUUCAUAUAGAUGAACAUAAAAUCAAUGCCUGAAUGGUCCCACCACACGAAGCUGAGCUACGAGAUCACUGAACCUGCCUUUGUAUUGUGGCUGCUUGCUACAAUGGUGCUCAGGUGGUUUACAGAAAUUCGUUGUAGCAUGCGCCCGCUUGCCUCGGCAUGCGCUUUUGGCAGAACAUCAAGUUGCCGGAAUUGUAGCGCAGACCGGCCCUCUCCUUUUGGUCUGCACAGACCGGCGCGCAGCUUGGAAACAAGUAUUCCAUGGCGGGAUUAACGCGGCAGAAGCGGCCGCAUGCCUCUUUGUUGUCGCCAACGAAAUAGUCAUGUCCAGUGCGUACACGUCGUCCACCAGUGUGUGGGGUUGCUGGACUCCUGCCGCCCAAAAGGUGCUCGGCAAAAUGCCCCAUCAAAAGAAGGUAAUAUCGAGUUGUUGACAUUUGUGAUCCACAUCUCCUUUGCCACCUCAAUUGAUCAAAGCAUGCAUGGGGUUUGGUCUUUGCCACAUCAGCCUUAUCAACAUGUGCCUACUAGCUAGACAGAUUUGUUGUCAAAACAGGGUAAACUAAUAAGAACAAAAAUUCUACACCUAAGAUAAAAAAUCAUACGUAUUCUUACUUCACUUUCCUAACUAACCCUUUCAUCCCCUGAUUUCAACUGGGUGGCCACCCUUCUCUUAAUUUCUAUCAAUUGAGAAAGGACACCUAAGCUAUUACGUCGGCUUACGUAUGAUAGCUACUUAGGUGUAGCAUUCUCGAUGUUCAUUUGUUUUUUGAUAAAAUUCCACAAUGUAAGAUGCAUUUCUUCUAGUUUCUCAUAAUUUCAUCGUUAGCCUUUCAAAAAAACAAAAUAUUUCUUCUCCAAUUGCAUGCAUCUGUUAUUGUAAAGAGAAAAAAGAAAGUAUCUCCCUACUGAUUUCGUGUAUCUCUUACUUUCCUAGCGUAGAUGAUUUAGUCGCCGCAAAUAAAUAAUUUAGCCAAGGUUAAUUUGGUCCUAACAUGUGUAUAAUUAUAUGCUUCGGUCAUCGCAAUAAAAAUAAUACACCUUACAUAAAGAAAUGAAGGGAGUACGAAUUAGAUUGAUUUUUUUACAUCAUGGGCCUUAAAAGUGAUGGUGAAGGCAGCUCUAGUAGAUCCCCUAAAUUCAAAUUUGAGAAUAAGAUAAUGUGUUAUAGCGAGUUAAGAGCUACCUAGCAGAUCCCCUCAUGUAGUGCUCUGGCCAGAGCUAGAC